AUUGAACGCUGGCGGCAGGCCUAACACAUGCAAGUCGAGCGGAUGAAGGGAGCUUGCUCCUGGAUUCAGCGGCGGACGGGUGAGUAAUGCCUAGGAAUCUGCCUGGUAGUGGGGGAUAACGUCCGGAAACGGGCGCUAAUACCGCAUACGUCCUGAGGGAGAAAGUGGGGGAUCUUCGGACCUCACGCUAUCAGAUGAGCCUAGGUCGGAUUAGCUAGUUGGUGGGGUAAAGGCCUACCAAGGCGACGAUCCGUAACUGGUCUGAGAGGAUGAUCAGUCACACUGGAACUGAGACACGGUCCAGACUCCUACGGGAGGCAGCAGUAGGGAAUAUUGGACAAUGGGCGAAAGCCUGAUGCAGCAAUGCCGCGUGAGUGAAGAAGGUCUUCGGAUUGUAAAGCACUUUAAGUUGGGAGGAAGGAAAGUAAGUUAAUACCUUGAUGUUUUGACGUUACCAACAGAAUAAGCACCGGCUAACUUCGUG
rnacentral:rRNA from 1 species